GCCGGCUGUCGGCUGGUUGCCGGCUCCGAGGGCGAUGAGAGUGGCAGGUGUGCCCUGCUGCACAGGUGGCCUCCGAACCCGGGAAAAGAGGAACUAAGGCGGAGGAACUGAGACGUUUCGAAUUCCAGGCGCACUGCACACUCGCCGGGGGGCACGCCAUGCAAAUCUCCUUCUGGGCCAAUGCACAUGGUUGCUGCCACAGGUUUACCGGAUGCUAUCAAGGUUUCAACUGCCCACACAGCUUCUUCAACGUGUUCAAAAUACUGGAAUCAGUUAAGCUAAGGUAUGAAGGUGUCUGACUCACUCCUCCUGCUACCAAAGCAUCUCCUUCAUCAGCCACUUGUCGGGCGAUGUCGCAAGCAGCUUCAUUGACUUCCUGCCCCUAAAAUGGGUGAGUAUAUGAGACAUCUAAAUUUUCAUGUGAAAUUGAAAUAAAAUUAUUAUUCAAACAUUCA
rnacentral:lncRNA from 1 species